UUAAAUUGGACGUAUUGCUAUUUUUAUCCUAGUCGAAAUUAUGAAACGAAACGUUUUGACAGUCCGUUUGCCAAUAAGCAGUGAUCAGUUUCUUUUGUUUGUUUUUCUAUUGUUUACCUACUAUAUUAGAUGAUGACUUACCUCCAAAACGCUUUAAAACUUUCGUUUAUAAUUCUAAGUGUGUUUAUAAUUAAAGAGCUACAGUGAAAUAAAAUGAAUUCUUCAAGAAAGGCAGCACCCAUGACAAAAGAGGAGACGAUGAUUCUAGCAGAACUUGUGGCGGUGAAAAAACGCAUCAAUAAUAAGGCAACAAAUGCCACAAACAAUAAAUUGAAGCAGCAGGCUUGGCCAACCCUUGUAAAUGAUUUUAAUUCGUCGAUUCGUCGUUUCCCAUGAACUCCAUCGCAGCUUCGACUAAAAUGGGAAAACUUAAAAAACGCUACGGCAACAUAAGAAACAACCUUAGUAAGGCUGGAGGUGGUAAGGAUUGCAGAUGAAAUUUUGGAUAAAGCAUGCACAUUGUUGUAGGUCACAUAUAUUUUUAACACUUUUACAGCCAAGCGGAAACAAGAUGGAAGAAAAGAAAUGCAAUGUAUUAGCAGAAUAUCUAAUAGCAAAAAAGAGGCUUGAUUUGGAAAAUGAAGAAAAGGAGAUUGUUGUAGCAAAACUUAAGUUAGAUUUAGAUAAUGCUAGAUUAAAAAAUUAAAAAUUACUUAAAAGGAUUUCAUAAAUUAAGUAGGCAAUAAUAAUUUUUUGUUAGAUAGUUUUUUAAGUAUAUGUACAAAUUCUAAAUUAAAUAUCUUGCAUGUACUAACCACUAUGUAAUUAUCAUUUUGGAAAAUAAAAAAUAGUCAAAUUAU